rnacentral:rRNA from 1 species
GUUCUACCUUGACGAAUUGUAGUUUAAAGAAGUGUUUUCUGUUGGAGUUUUGGUAAAAGUUCUUUGGAAUAGGACAUCAUAGAGGGUGAGAAUCCCGUAUUUGACCAUUAUUUCCAGCUUUGUGAUACACUUUCAAAGAGUCGGAUUGUUUGGGAAUGCAGUCCAAAAUGGGUGGUAAAUUUCAUCUAAAGCUAAAUAUUGGCGAGAGACCGAUAGCGAACAAGUACCGUGAGGGAAAGAUGAAAAGAACUUUGAAAAGAGAGUUAAACAGUACGUGAAAUUGUCAAAAGGGAAGCGUUUGACACCAGUGUUGUUUUCUCGAAAAUCAAUUAAAAAAGGCUGGACUUUGUGUUGUAUUGACUUUAUCAGCUUUCUGCACUCUUUUCUUGUCUUUUUU